UCCGAGUUAACCCCGGCAGUCCCCCACGAGUCCCCAGCACGAUCCAAAGGACCGCCUGCUGGCAACAUGGGGCAAGGGUUGCGCUCGUUGCGGGACUUAAGCCAACACCUCACGGCACGAGCUGACGACAGCCAUGCAGCACCUGUGCUAGCCCCUUACGGACACGGGCUUUCACCCGCUUUAACUAGCAUGUCAAGCCUAGGUAAGGUUCUUCGCGUUGCAUCGAAUUAAGCCACAUGCUCCGCCGCUUGUGCGGGUCCCCGUCAAUUCCUUUGAGUUUUAGCCUUGCGGCCGUACUCCCCAGGCGGGGCACUUAAUGCGUUAGCUACGGCACGGAGACCGUCGAUAGGUCCCCACACCUAGUGCCCAACGUUUACGGCUAGGACUAC
rnacentral:misc_RNA from 1 species